CGCACGGGUGCGUAACGCGUAUACAAUCUGCCCUUUCACAUAGGGGAUAGCCCGAAGAAAUUUGGAUUAAUACCUAAUGGUAUAUAAGAGCGGCAUCGUUUUUAUAUUAAAGCUACGGUGGUGAAAGAUGAGUAUGCGUUCUAUUAGCUAGUUGGAGAGGUAACGGCUCCCCAAGGCGACGAUAGAUAGGGGUUCUGAGAGGGAUGUCCCCCACACUGGUACUGAGAUACGGACCAGACUCCUACGGGAGGCAGCAGUGAGGAAUAUUGGACAAUGGUCGGAAGACUGAUCCAGCCAUGCCGCGUGCAGGAUGAAGGUCCUAUGGAUUGUAAACUGCUUUUGUAAGGGAAGAAUAAGGAGUACGUGUACUUUGAUGACGGUACCUUACGAAUAAGCAUCGGCUAACUCCGUGCCAGCAGCCGCGGUAAUACGGAGGAUGCGAGCGUUAUCCGGAAUCGUUGGGUUUAAAGGGUCC
rnacentral:rRNA from 1 species